CCCUUACUGUGGAUAAUCUUGCAAAAAGGUGCACCAAAUUAGUUUCUGCUAGCGGAAACUCGAGAUGAAUGAUCUUUGCUACUCUUGGGAAUUGAAUUCGUUCACUUGGCAGGAAAAUCAUGCUAAUAAAUCAAAUGCUUUUUCUUGACCAAUAAAAGAAAUCGAUGGUUGUAGACAAUCAAGAUUUGUGAUACUCAGGCAAGACAUGUGAUGCAUGGAGAGUGUCGAUGUCUUAACUAAUCGAGAAAUGUAAAAAAUGAAUAGGAUGGUUAAGGACGUGAAACAGUUGCUACGCCUGACAUUGGUUAGAUUGAAUACUUUCUGCUCUUCAUUCUUUGGCCUGAGUAACAGGAUUUUCCAAUGCCUUCAAAGGAUCUUCUCAUUAAUGUAUUGAAUUUGCUCGCCGAAACAUCUUGAUGGUUUUCAGGUGCUGGAUUGAUGCAGGAUACGUAUUCAUGUAGCCUAGUAAAGCAGGGACUUGUCUCGCGGUAUUCUUCUCUUAGGUGAUAAUUUGACAGCUGAAUAUAUUAUCCUGCUUCUUUGAAUCACCAAUGUUACCAUGGUAAUUUAUUUUUUUGUCCUAGUUGACAAUAACAAUUUUGCAGGACAUCAUGGAUGUUUAAAGACUACAAUUUCACGAUAUCUUUUCAUGGUUUUCAAUGCCAAUCUGUUUGGCAUGAUCCAUAUCUUUGCUCCAGCUUGAAUUGGUGCUUACUGACUCAGGAUUUUACUUGUGUGUAUUUCUUAGCUUGUGGGUGUUCUUUGUUAUGAUUUGUUAUUUUUGUGCUUUCGGUUUAUAUAAAACCUAACCUUUGAUUUUUUUUUCGCCUAUUUAGGCAUGUCCUUUUUUUUGUUUUUUCCUUGUGUUUUCAGAGGUCACUUUUGAAUUCAAGAAAUAUGAUAUCUGGGCAGUAUGCAGCAUUACCUCUUUUGCUCUCACUUCUGUUCUUCUGUAAAUAUUGUUGUCAGCAUUUUUCUUCUCUUAUUUAUGAAUGUUUUCCUUGCACAUGUUUGCUAUUUAGAUUUGUGAUUUUGAUGCUUGAGCAUCUGCCCAUCGUACAGUAGCUUCUUUCUGUCCAGGAAAAUGAAUUGUUUUAAGUUUUUGAUGCUAGAGCUUUUAAUAGAAAAUAGAUUGAUAUCUAAAUGAGGGUUUUGGUAUUUGUUUAUACUGGAUUUCCCAUUCGAAUUAUGCAGGGAUCUACCCACAGUUGAGAUGAAAAUGUGAUAAUAUCAUGAGUCAGAUUCGAUAUGAUAAUUGAUCUAUUCAUAGUUCAUCUUAUCGGUCCGUAUCGAUGUACCGAUCAAUAUACGAUAUGUUGAAACAUAUUGUACCACCUAUGCUGUUCUCCUUGUCAGAUCGAUACAUAUCGCUCAUAUCAGAUGAUAUAUCACGGAGCACGAAGGACGUACGACGUGGGGAGAAGGCAGUCGAUGAUGUUGGCUUGGCUUCCAACUCAAGGCUGUGAACGGUAGAGGCACGGAAGCAGCACUCGAUUCACGGUGCUUCGUUCAUGAUGGGGGAUGACUUGAGACGAGGAAAGAAAGAGCGAAGGCAAAACCUUCGACCGCCCACAUCUGUCUUCCACAUCCAAUAAAGGUGUCUAUCAUUCUUCUCCAGCCGGUCUUCACAGCAUCUAUCUCUGUUUCUGUUUCUGUUUCUUCCCAAUAACGAAGGGAAACUUUAUUACUUCGACUGUCUAAUACAAGAAACUCGAAUUUUGUGGUUA